CUUCAUGCAACGGGCUUCUAGUAUAAUAAUAAAAGGGGUCUUGAAGAAUUGUGCUACAUGUCCUCUGCCUUUGCUGUAUACAUGGAACAUCAAGCCUGGAUGACAGCACACCUGUU